rnacentral:rRNA from 1 species
GACGAACGCUGGCGGCGUGCUUAACACAUGCAAGUCGAACGGAAAGGCCCUGCUUUUGUGGGGUGCUCGAGUGGCGAACGGGUGAGUAACACGUGAGUAACCUGCCCUUGACUUUGGGAUAACUUCAGGAAACUGGGGCUAAUACCGGAUAGGAGCUCCUGCUGCAUGGUGGGGGUUGGAAAGUUUCGGCGGUUGGGGAUGGACUCGCGGCUUAUCAGCUUGUUGGUGGGGUAGUGGCUUACCAAGGCUUUGACGGGUAGCCGGCCUGAGAGGGUGACCGGCCACAUUGGGACUGGGAUGCGGCCCAGACUCCUACGGGAGGCAGCAGUGGGGAAUAUUGCACAAUGGGCGGAAGCCUGAUGCAGCAACGCCGCGUGCGGGAUGACGGCCUUCGGGUUGUAUACCGCUUUCGCCUGUGACGAAGCGUGAGUGACGGUAAUGGAUAAAGAAGCACCGGCUAACUACGUG